UCACCAAACAACUAAAUCCAACUACACCAGCGCAGCUCGGACACCAAAACUUGUUCUUCACUCUGCUUAGCCACGCUUCCCAAUAAUCACCUAUCUUCAUCAUGUUCUUCCUUAAAUGGUCGUGUGCUUGAGUUGUCAACGAUGGCUACUUCCUUGCAGCAGGCUGUCGAUAAGAACCUCGAGUGUCCUGUCUGCCUGAGCUUCUUCAAGGACCCCAAGAUCCUGACCUGCUCCCAUACCUUCUGCAAGGGUUGUCUUGAGACUGUCCUAGAGUCUCAUCGGAAGCUGUUAUGUCCUACGUGCAGGGAGGAGACUUUGGUUCCCGGUGGAGACGUGGGUAGAUUGCAAUCAAACAUAACAGUCAGAUCUCUUGUUGAAGAUGUGGAGACCCAGGGCCCUUCUAAUCAAGAAGACAAAUGUAAAAAACAUCCGAACCAAGAUGAAGACUGUUUUUGUUUUAACUGUCAAAAGUAUGUCUGCUGCAAGUGUGCAAUAUCAGAGCAUGCAAAGGAUGCUCACACUAUCCUUGAAGCAGGCGCCCAUGAAAAGAAUAACAUUGAGGAACUUGCAUCUAAAGCGAAUGCAAAGAUACGCAACGUUGACAACUAUGUUAAAUUCGUUGUAGACAAGCGUAAAAGGGUGCAUAAUGUACAUGAAAAACUCAAUGAUGAAAUAGACGAUACUUUUGAGGAAUCAGUACAGAAGUUGAGGAAAAUAAGGACGGUGUUGAAAAAUGAAGUCGGGCAAAAGCUAGGUAAACUUGAGACUUCAUUGGGAGACAUGGAGGAGUCAGGUCGUAAACAGAUAGACGAGAUUACAACAGCUCGGGACUUGGUUAAGAAUGGUCUUCAUAUUCCUCUCCAGACAGAGGCUCUGACCUCACAUAAAGCGAAGUGCCAAACACUGGAAGAACUUCUAAGCCGGAUUGGGCCAGAUGUGGAGCUGCCCAGAAGAACUGCUGAGGAAGGUGAAAGAAUUGGCUUCAGGAGUCUGGGAUUGGAUGGACUCCAAAUGGGCCAGCUAAGACAAAAGAAGUUCAAAUGGGUUCUGCGCACAGAAGACCCCUUCCCUGAUGGAAAUAUCACCAUGACCGGAAUGGCAAUAUCACCAAACAAUGGGAUGGCUGUUGGUUGUAGAAGGGGAGGAAUAGUCAUAUAUUCUUCUGAGGCCAUCAUACAAGAUACCGUUCUGAAAUCUGUUCAAGUUAAUGCACUACACUUCAUGCCUGAUGGUGGAUACGUCAUACGAGACUCAAAGAACAAAAUUGUCUUGUACACCGAGCUUCGUGAACAGGUUGAUGUAACGUUUGAGACAAUUGAUGUUACGAAAGAUGGAUGGCUUGGUGGUCUCACUGUAGACAAGGAUGGGCUGAUCUUCAUAGCUUACAAUAGAUGCAAGAAAAUACAGGUAUUUAAGCCAGAAGGUGGGAAGGCAAUUAGAGAGAUAAAGUGUAACGGAUUUGAACCAUGGCAAAUGUCUGCGAUGAAAUCAAGUCAAGCCAUUGUCGUUAAGAGUAGUUUUUCUACUGUACACGUGAUCAACGAUGUGUCUGGUGCUAUCAUUCAUAGCAUCAGCAAAGAUGGUUAUAGCUCUUACCCUGCUGUGUAUCAGGAUAGUUCAGUCAUCAUUGCAUGGGUUCGGCGCGAUCAGGGUCUGCUGAGCAUCGUUCGAUACACAAAAGAUCUCAAAUACAUCAAAACCAUUCUCACUGAUUUCAAGAUAAUCAAACCAAAUCGAGAUUGGUUCUAUUUACGGGCAUUCAAGACGGGAGAGAUUGCUUUCUGCACAUCUAAUAGAAUGUACAUCUUCCAUGAGACGUGGGAGUAAAUUUCAGUUUGCAUUUGAAACUUGAUGUUUCAUCGAAUUUUGGAACUUUAAAACUCCCGGAUGCAAUCCUUUCAGUACUCCUGCUUCGUAAACAAGCCUGCAUUGUGAAAAGGUUGAGCAAUAUUUUCCAACACUUUGCCCAACGUUGUGCCAAUAGUCAACCCAACCAUCUAUUGGGCAAUAUUUUGCCCAGUGGUAUUGGUAAACGUAGGUAUGUGCAUAAUUGUUCAUAUUUUGCCCAACAAGUGGUCUACCGUAGUCGGGCAGUUGAAGGGUCAUAUCUUUGCCCACAAAUACGAAACAAUUAUGCAACCUUUUCACAGUGUGUACCUAAAUGUAAUGUAAAUCAAAGAGUAGGUCUAGACUCCACUCUAUUAUAAUGCUAUCAUAAUGUUGGCGAAUUUCAUUAUGCUGUCGGCAGUAGAUAAUGUAACGUUUACUCUUAUGAAGUAUCAAGAUCUUGCUCUCAUUAUUGCAAAUGGUGGUUAUUUUAUAGACUGAUGUAGUUAGAUAAUCGAGGAGAAGAGGGGGUAGUACACCUUCUAAACGACUGAAAGCAUAUUGCACAUGUAAUACACAGUCAUGCAUUCGGCAUUCCUGCUAUUAUGGUGGAUGAGCAGCUGCCUUCUUCCAAUGAUAUUUGUAAUACUCAUAAGAUUCCCUUAGUGUUCAUGCUUCAUGGUAGUCCAACGUAAUCAAAUUAUUGUUUUCAAAAUACAAUGUAUUACUAUGUAUCUGAAAAUGUUUGUUUUUAAAAUAUGCAAGAUACUUGGCAAUCAAUUAAUGUAUAAUGUCGGUAAUGAUGGAGAAGGCGUAAUUCUAUAUACAUAUGUUUUUUGUUCUUUGUUUCAAGAACAUUUUUGAUAAUUUAGGACAUCAUUUAUUUUUGUCAUAGUUGUUUACUGGAAAAAUGUGUAAAAAUUGUGAAUUGUGUAAACGUUCUAAAUGGCCUUUCUUUGUACAAUCCCUAAUUCCCGUACAUUCCUCUAUCUCUCUUUGCUUCAUGAGCAUUUAUAAUUCAGUCAUUCAUUCAUUCAUUCAGUCAUUCAAUCGGCUAGGUUUAUUGAAAGAAAAAUCCUUGUAAAUCAGUCCAAAGACUGAUGCAUACACACGUUUCAUAGUUUUAUUGUUCAAAAUUAUACAAAGACUACAUUACAUUCACCAAAAUUGACUAGGAACAAAAAAAUUGGGAUAAGAAAUGAAGACAAAAAAUUGUUAAACAUGUUGCACCUUAAAUUGAUAAUAAAAAUACCCCCCCCCCAAAAAAAAAAGGGAUUAUAAAGACAGAGAACGAAAAUGAUAA